UGGAUCCAGACUUUGAUUAUGGCUCAGGAUGAACGCUAGCUACAGGCUUAACACAUGCAAGUCGAGGGGAAACGACAUCGAAAGCUUGCUUUUGAUGGGCGUCGACCGGCGCACGGGUGAGUAACGCGUAUCCAACCUGCCCACCACUUGGGGAUAACCUUGCGAAAGUAAGACUAAUACCCAAUGAUAUCUCUAGAAGACAUCUGAAAGAGAUUAAAGAUUUAUCGGUGAUGGAUGGGGAUGCGUCUGAUUAGCUUGUUGGCGGGGUAACGGCCCACCAAGGCAACGAUCAGUAGGGGUUCUGAGAGGAAGGUCCCCCACAUUGGAACUGAGACACGGUCCAAACUCCUACGGGAGGCAGCAGUGAGGAAUAUUGGUCAAUGGACGAGAGUCUGAACCAGCCAAGUAGCGUGCAGGAUGACGGCCCUAUGGGUUGUAAACUGCUUUUAUAAGGGAAUAAAGUGAGUCUCGUGAGACUUUUUGCAUGUACCUUAUGAAUAAGGACCGGCUAAUUCCGUGCCAGCAGCCGCGGUAAUACGGAAGGUCCGGGCGUUAUCCGGAUUUAUUGGGUUUAAAGGGAGCGUAGGCCGGAGAUUAAGCGUGUUGUGAAAUGUAGACGCUCAACGUCUGCACUGCAGCGCGAACUGGUUUCCUUGAGUACGCACAAAGUGGGCGGAAUUCGUGGUGUAGCGGUGAAAUGCUUAGAUAUCACGAAGAACUCCGAUUGCGAAGGCAGCUCACUGGAGCGCAACUGACGCUGAAGCUCGAAAGUGCGGGUAUCGAACAGGAUUAGAUACCCUGGUAGUCCGCACGGUAAACGAUGGAUGCCCGCUGUUGGUCUGAAUAGGUCAGCGGCCAAGCGAAAGCAUUAAGCAUCCCACCUGGGGAGUACGCCGGCAACGGUGCAACUCAAAGGAAUUGACGGA
rnacentral:rRNA from 1 species